rnacentral:rRNA from 1 species
UAAUACUCGCGGUCCAAGUCGCAGCCAUCAUUAUUGGGUCUAAAACAUCCGUAGCUUGCUAUGUAAGUUUCCUGUGAAAUCCCGGGUCUCAAGCUCGGGGCGUGCGGGAAGUACUGCAUGGCUAGAGACCGGUAGACGCAGGAAGUAUGUUCGGAGUAGCGGUAAAAUGCUUUAAUCUCGGACAGACUCACAACAGCGAAGGCAUCCUGCGAGAACGGUUCUGACUGUCAGGGAUGAAGGCUAGGGGCGCAAAGUGGAUUAGAUACCCAUGUAGUCCUAGCAGUAAACACUGCACACUAAACAUCAGUACCUCCUCGAGAGGUAUUGGUGCUGCAGCGAAGGCGAAGAGUGUGCUACCUGGGAAGUAUAGUCGCAAGGCCG